rnacentral:rRNA from 1 species
UACGGGGGGGGCAAGCGUUGUUCGGAAUUACUGGGCGUAAAGGGCUCGUAGGUGGCCAACUAAGUCAGACGUGAAAUCCCUCGGCUUAACCGGGGAACUGCGUCUGAUACUGGAUGGCUUGAGUUCGGGAGAGGGAUGCGGAAUUCCAGGUGUAGCGGUGAAAUGCGUAGAUAUCUGGAGGAACACCGAUGGCGAAGGCAGGUCUCUGGGCCACUACUGACGCUGAGACGCGAAAGCGUGGGGAGCGAACAGG